UGAAAAAGCCAAAAGUCCAACCCCAAGUGACUUACCAUCUCCCACAGAAAACACUGUUCACAAACUGCUCCAAACAGCUCUAUUGUAGUCCAGCCUUUACUUCUGUCACUUUGUAAUACGUUAUAAUGCUCGCCUAGCUGCUAGC